CAGUCGCCGCGGUAAUACGUAGGGUGCAAGCGUUAAUCGGAAUUACUGGGCGUAAAGGGCUCGCAGGCGGUUUCUUAAGUCUGAUGUGAAAGCCCCCGGCUCAACCGGGGAGGGUCAUUGGAAACUGGGAAACUUGAGUGCAGAAGAGGAGAGUGGAAUUCCACGUGUAGCGGUGAAAUGCGUAGAGAUGUGGAGGAACACCAGUGGCGAAGGCGACUCUCUGGUCUGUAAUUGACGCUGAGGAGCGAAAGCGUGGGGAGCGAACAGGAUUAGAUACCCGAGUAGCCCUGUCUCUUAUACA
rnacentral:rRNA from 1 species